GAUGAACGCUGGCGGCGUGCCUAAUACAUGCAAGUCGAGCGAACGGACGAGAAGCUUGCUUCUCUGAUGUUAGCGGCGGACGGGUGAGUAACACGUGGAUAACCUACCUAUAAGACUGGGAUAACUUCGGGAAACCGUAGCUAAUACCGGAUAAUAUUUUGAACCGCAUGGUUCAAUAGUGAAAGACGGUCUUGCUGUCACUUAUAGAUGGAUCCGCGCUGCAUUAGCUAGUUGGUAAGGUAACGGCUUACCAAGGCAACGAUGCAUAGCCGACCUGAGAGGGUGAUCGGCCACACUGGGACUGGGACACGGUCCAGACUCCUACGGGAGGCAGCAGUAGGGAAUCUUCCGCAAUGGGCGAAAGCCUGACGGAGCAACGCCGCGUGAGUGAUGAAGGUCUUCGGAUCGUAAAACUCUGUUAUUAGGGAAGAACAUAUGUGUAAGUAACUGUGCACAUCUUGACGGUACCUAAUCAGAAAGCCACGGCUAACUACGUG
rnacentral:rRNA from 1 species